UAGUUGGCGUCGACAUCCUUUUGCCGUCGCUAAAAAUGGGCUUUUCUCUUCGGCAAAGUUACGCCGUUGCAAAACUUGCGACUGAGUUACUAUGCCGUGGCAAUGGCGUAGCCAAUCUUUAAUAUUUUUCUUCGGCGAAACGUUUGCAGUCGCAAACUUUCAAUACUUGGCGACUGCGUCUACAAUGCUAUCGCACGAGAGAACAACUAUGAGCCCAAUUCUCUUAUUAAAUCUAUUUUCUAAUAAAAAAGCCCUAGCCUAUUUCCCUCAAUCUCUGUUCGAUCUCUACCGCAACCCUCUUUCUCUUUCUCUUCGUUCUCGAUCUAACUCAACAAAUUGAGCAUCGCAGAACUUGGUGGCAACUGUGUUGAUCUAGAUCUAGGGCUUCUUGUUUUUGGGUAUUUCAAUUUGGCUCUCUUCAGUCAUACCUCUUCCUCUCUCGUUGAAUCUGAUUCAACUCAGACGCUUCCAGAUCAAUGGCGUGGUUAUUCGAGUGAGUAUCGUUCUGUUCGAGCGGAAUUGUGCUGAAUUUCGAUUCAACUCAGAUGCUUUCUCUUCUCUAUUCUCGGAAAGUUUGCGUCUUGGGCAUUCCCAGAAGCAUGGAGAUCACUUGCAACAAGCACAUUCAAUGUGAUGAAUUAUGGCGCUGUUGCGAAUGGCCAAGUUGAUGAUACACAAGUAUUUAUGACAUAAAAACAGGCUCAAUGUUUAAGUCUAUAACUGGAGAAAGCAAAGGCUCUAAGACAUGUCAAAGUCAUCUUCUGCAGCCAUAGUUGGAGGUGCUGUUGGGGCACUUGCCUUGGCGGCAAUAAUCGUCGGAUUCAUGUCGUUCUGCAAGGCACAAUGUAAUAAGCAUUUCCCCAACAAGGAUUCAAAGACUGGUUCUUCGGAUCCAUCUGCAAUAGUUGAGCUGACUAGAGGUGGACCUAGUUCAACAAGGCACUUCACAAUGGAGGAGUUAGAGCAAGCUACCAAGCAUUUUGAUGAAAGCAGUCUUCUGGGAUAUGGAAGUUUUGGACUUGUUUAUAAAGGUUUGCUCCGUGAUGGGAUGGUUGUGGCUAUCAAAAGGCGCCCCGGUGCUCCUAGACAAGAAUUUGUCUCAGAGGUAUAACUAAAUGGGGACAUAUCAUAGUGUUCUACACUCUAUACUUCUGUGCAUUACAUUUUGUAGCUCCUAGUUACUUAAUGAACCAUGUUCUAUGCCUAAACUAGAUAUGGUGUUAAGGAUCAGUUUCUUUUCAUUUUGCAUAAUGAACAACUGUGCAUAACAAAAACAACUAUGUAAGAGCUUAAUUAUGUGGUAGCAGGUAAUGUACUUGUCGCAGAUUCAUCACUGAAUCUUAGUUAAAAUACUGAGUUACUGCCACGAAAGUCAAAUGUUGGUUUUUGAAUAUUUACCAAAUGGAAGCAUGUGCAAUCACCUAUAUGGUAUACCUCCUUUUACUGAUCAUACUGGUUUUUAAAUACUAUUGAUGCAUAUAUACUUACGCAAGUUACACAUAUAUGCCAUUCAUUUUCUGGCAGAUACUAAACAGGAUCCAUCAACUAAACUAGAGUUUAAGCAAAGGUGAUGAUCUGUCACUUCUUAAGAGGUAGUACCUUGAAGCAUCAAUUCAAGCUUGGUGAGCAACUUCUGUUUCUUACUAGUGUUUGCACCUGUUUUUUGCACGUCGACCUACUAAGCUUUCACUGUUGGAUGAGAGAGAAUUUUGGCUGAGAUUAAGUUAGGGCCAAGAAUGAAGUCACUCAAUCAUUCGGCUGAGAAUGAAAUUAAUUGGCCAUUCAGCUGAGAUGAGGAAAUUAGUCAAAUAAGCAUUAGGCCGAUCGAGAAUAUAUAAUUUAGGUCAAACGGCCGAAAUGAAGGUGUUGACCGAAAUCAGAGUUUCUCGGUCACUCGAUCGAGAUUAUAGUUUUGAGUCGUAUGACUGGGCGUUGUUCGGUCACUCGAUCGAGAUUAGAGUUUUGAGUCUGAGAUAAAGACAUCAUUCAAUCACUCGGCCGAGGUUUGAGAUUUUGGGUCGAACAACCCAAAAGAUGAUGAAAGUGGAUCACACGGUUACAUGGUUGGAAAAUCCAAGUUCAAAUAAGUGACUAUGCGGAUGGGCCGAGAAGGAGCUUAGAUAUGCUCGGCCCAAGCCCAACUGACAAACAUCGGUCAAGGAAUCCGUUUAAGGAAGGAAUCCUCACAAGGAAAGAGUUUAAAUCAAUUUAGAAUUUCAAUUGUGAAGAUUCCAGAUAUCAGCCGAAUCAUAACAUUUAUGGAUGAAUCAACCCAAAAAAGGAAGAUGAAUCCUACUUGAAUUCCACGUUUUAGAGAACAAGUUAGCCUAGGUUUUGAUCUGUAUAUAUAGGAGCUUCAAACUCAUUGUAAAAGGUCCUGCAUCACACAAACAAAUCAAUAUACAACUUUUACUCUUAAACUUUUCUCUUGCUAUCUCAUAGGUACUUUACCUUCGAUUCAACUUUCAUAACUUGUUUUCAUUUCUAGUUUCUUAGUUUCAAUUCAAUUCUUUACAUUCAAGCACUUUACUUUCUUGUUUAUUUACUUUAUAUGCACUUUACUUUUCGCACUUAGGAGUAGUUCGUAACAUAGAAUUAUCAGCCAUUGAUCUCUUUCGGCCAGUCCGGAUUGGGUCGAUGCGAUUCGUUGUUCACACACACAUAUUCUCACAAUGCUUUGACAGCCGAGUCCAUUUCACUUUCGUCUUCACCGUGAUCUGCGAGUACCUUCACCCGAUAGAUCUCUCGCUUGUCACCCGAACAUUUGAGUUUACCCAAGAAGUGAACGUGAUAGUAGAUCCCGGUCAGGAUUGACGCCCGACCGAAGUCCUUGCAACAGAGGCAUUAGAACCCAACGGCCGAUAGGGUUCCUUCCUCGGCCUUCAAUCAUUUGAUAAGAAGUCAGAUACAAGCGCAAAUUAGAUCUGAACCUCGUUCGGCCAUUCGGCCGCGAGUUGGCACGCCCGCGCAAUUUCAGAAGGACAAUUCAACCACAGGUCCCUCGGCCCUCAUUUCGGCCGAGACGAUUUUGAGGCAAACAACUAGUCAGGCUUGGUGAGCAGCUUCUAUUUCAAUGUUGAAGUAGAGGAAGAUAAGCACCUUGUAAAGCUUAAUUAUCUUGUAAACUUUCAUAGAAGCUUCAUUCCUUUUGUAACAUUCGUGAGAAAAAUUAAAAUGUUACAUU